rnacentral:rRNA from 1 species
UACGGGGGGGGCGAGCGUUGUUCGGAAUUAUUGGGCGUAAAGGGCGCGUAGGCGGUGUGGUAAGUCUGAUGUGAAAACUCCAGGCUCAACUUGGAGAUUGCAUCAGAAACUGCCGUGCUAGAGUGUGGGAGAGGAGAGUGGAAUUCCUGGUGUAGCGGUGAAAUGCGUAGAUAUCAGGAGGAACACCGGUGGCGAAGGCGGCCCUCUGGACCACAACUGACGCUGAGGCGCGAAAGCCAGGGGAGCAAACAGG